rnacentral:tRNA from 1 species
UGUCCGGGGAUGGGAAUCGAACCCACAGUGUUCCGCUUACCGGGCAGAUGCCAUGUCCACUAGGCUACCCUGGAC